rnacentral:lncRNA from 1 species
ACAAGUGGACCAAGUUUACAAGAAGAGAAAAAAGUACUAGUACUAAUCAUACUACAAAUACCCCUUCUCCAUUUUCGUACGGGCGUUACGAGCAAGCCAACACGAAGAACAAUAUAUGCUACUGGUGGAGAGUUAUACCUGGAUACGUACACCGCGUUGAUAUGUACAUGAUAAUGUCAUUCGACAUGAAAAACCAAUCCUUCGAAUUUGUAAAGGUAAGCUCACGAGACAAGCUUAUAGGUCCACGUACCUCCAUUCGAUCUCUA